rnacentral:rRNA from 1 species
GACGAACGCUGGCGGCGUGCUUAAUACAUGCAAGUCGAGCGAGGCCUUGGAAUUGGAGUCCUUCGGGAUGAAGAGUCCUUGGCCUAGCGGCGGACGGGUGAGUAACGCGUGGGCAACCUACCCCAAAGUCCGGGAUAACAGUGGGAAACCGCUGCUAAUACCGGAUGGCUUUACCUGAGGGCAUCCUCGGGUAAAGAAAGGUUACGCUUUGGGAUGGGCCCGCGUCCCAUUAGCUAGUUGGUGAGGUAACGGCUCACCAAGGCGACGAUGGGUAGCCGGCCUGAGAGGGUGAACGGCCACACUGGGACUGAGACACGGCCCAGACUCCUACGGGAGGCAGCAGUAGGGAAUAUUGCGCAAUGGGCGGAAGCCUGACGCAGCGACGCCGCGUGAGCGAAGAAGGCCUUCGGGUCGUAAAGCUCUGUCCUUGGGGAAGAAGGCGAAAGCUUGACGGUACCCAAGAAGAAAGCCCCGGCUAACUACGUG